rnacentral:tRNA from 1 species
GGGGCCAUAGCUCAGUUGGGAGAGCACCUGCCUUGCAAGCAGGGGGUCGGCGGUUCGAGUCCGCCUGGCUCCACCA